rnacentral:rRNA from 1 species
CCUACGGGAGGCAGCAGUGGGGAAUAUUGGGCAAUGGGCGCAAGCCUGACCCAGCAACGCCGCGUGAAGGAAGAAGGCUUUCGGGUUGUAAACUUCUUUUAAGGGGGAAGAGCAGAAGACGGUACCCCUUGAAUAAGCCACGGCUAACUACGUGCCAGCCGCCGCGGUAAUACGUAGGUGGCAAGCGUUGUCCGGAUUUACUGGGUGUAAAGGGCGUGCAGCCGGAGAGACAAGUCAGAUGUGAAAUCCACGGGCUCAACCCGUGAACUGCAUUUGAAACUGUUUCCCUUGAGUGUCGGAGAGGUAAUCGGAAUUACUUGUGUAGCGGUGAAAUGCGUAGAUAUAAGGAAGAACACCAGUGGCGAAGGCGGAUUACUGGACGAUAACUGACGGUGAGGCGCGAAAGCGUGGGGAGCAAACAGGAUUAGAGACCCCUGUAGUC